AAGGAGUCUAACAUGCUUGCGAGUAUUUGGGUGUCAAACCCGGAUGCGUAAUGAAAGUGAAUGGAGGUGGGAAGCGCAAGCUGCACCAUCGACCGAUCUGGAUUUUCUAAGAUGGAUUUGAGUAAGAGCACGUAUGUUGGGACCCGAAAGAUGGUGAACUAUGCCUGAAUAGGGCGAAGCCAGAGGAAACUCUGGUGGAGGCUCGUAGCGGUCCUGACGUGCAAAUCGAUCGUCAAAUUUGGGUAUAGGGGCGAAAGACUAAUCGAACCAUCUAGUAGCUGGUUCCUGC
rnacentral:misc_RNA from 1 species